UACGUAGGGUGCGAGCGUUGUCCGGAAUUAUUGGGCGUAAAGAGCUCGUAGGCGGUCUGUCGCGUCUGCUGUGAAAACUCAGGGCUUAACCCUGAGCUUGCAGUGGGUACGGGCAGACUAGAGUGCGGUAGGGGAGACUGGAAUUCCUGGUGUAGCGGUGAAAUGCGCAGAUAUCAGGAGGAACACCGAUGGCGAAGGCAGGUCUCUGGGCCACUACUGACGCUGAGAAGCGAAAGCAUGGGGAGCGAACAGG
rnacentral:rRNA from 1 species